rnacentral:rRNA from 1 species
UGGGGAAUAUUGCACAAUGGGCGCAAGCCUGAUGCAGCAACGCCGCGUGAACGAUGAAGGUCUUCGGAUCGUAAAGUUCUGUUGCAGGGGAAGAUAAUGACGGUACCCUGUGAGGAAGCCCCGGCUAACUACGUGCCAGCAGCCGCGGUAAUACGUAGGGGGCUAGCGUUAUCCGGAUUUACUGGGCGUAAAGGGUGCGUAGGUGGUCUUUCAAGUCGGUGGUUAAAGGCUACGGCUCAACCGUAGUUAGCCUCCGAAACUGGAAGACUUGAGUGCAGGAGAGGAAAGUGGAAUUCCCAGUGUAGCGAUGAAAUGCGUAGAUAUUGGGAGGAACACCAGUAGCGAAGGCGGCUUUCUGGACUGCAACUGACACUGAGGCACGAAAGCGUGGGUAGCAAACAGG